GACGAACGCUGGCGGCGUGCUUAACACAUGCAAGUCGAAUGGAGUGGGGAAAGGGUGAGUAACACGUGGGUGAUCUGCCUUGCACUUCGGGAUAGGCUGGGGAAACUUGGUCUAAUACCGGAUAGUGCAAGAUGAGCUAUAGGCCUAUCAGCGGGUUGGUGGGGUAAUGGCUUACCAAGGCGUCGCCGGGUAGCCGGCCUGAGAGGGUGUACGGCCACAUUGGGACUGAGAUACGGCCCAAACUCCUACGGGAGGCAGCAGUGGGGAAUAUUGCACAAUGUGCGGAAGCCUGAUGCAGCGACGCCGCGUGGGGGAUGAACGCCUUCGGGUUGUAAUCUCCUUUCGACAGGGACGCGGUACCUGUAUAAGAAGCACCGGCUAACUACGUGCCAGCAGCCGCGGUAAUUC
rnacentral:rRNA from 1 species